AUGCUGGGGCCAGGAAUGAAGCAGGAGGGUCAAGAGCUUUAUGAUCAUCCCAGCUCUGAGCUUAGUCCUUUAAUGGUUUGAUUUCCUAAGCUCUCCCUGCCUGUGAUAAACUCUGGUGUUACAAUUGAGAAAUAAUUCCUCUUUUGAAAAGCUAGAGGUUGUUGGUCACUCGUUUAACUUUUAUAGAAUUUACUUUCUCAGCUAGAGUUUCAGCAAAGAUGAAACUGGACUCUUGCCCUGGGGCAAUGUAUCAUCAGCUCAACAUUAACAGGUCCUUCAAAAAUGAGAAGCUCAACACCUGUGAUGUUACUCACUACCUGUUUGCGUGGAGCCUCCGUGAAAACCUCAGCUGGCAUCAAUCACCCCUAAGCCCCAAGCAUAACAUGAGAGAGGAGACUGCUCACGAGGCUGGGUCACGAACGCCACAGAGCUCCCUCCAGAACCGAGUAAACCCAUCGCUGGGACCACGUCUCUUCUCUGGGACUGAAUCCCAGUGAGGCAGCUUGUCUAGGAACCAUGCCCAUCGGUUAUUACCGGAGUUUUACAGAACGGUAAAAGGAACACAGAUCUGGAGGCAGAAGUGGCAGCCUGGAGCUCUGAUUUCCCACUUGGCUGGCUGUACCCCUCCACCUUUCUGAGCCUCGGCUGCCUCCUGACGGGCCCUGGUGAGCCCGUGUGCCCCUGGUGGUGUGCUGGCCUGUGUCCACCGGUUGCACGAGGUUAUCACUGCAAGGAGCUUCCUGACUUUGUCUGGAGUGCUCAUCUGUUUGGGAGCAGCGAAGGAAGGACUCGUCCACAAAUAGCUCCUCUGUCCAUGGGAUUCUCUAGGCAAGAGUACCGGAGUGGGUUGCCAUUUCCUCUUCCAGGGAUCUUCCC
ensembl:lncRNA